rnacentral:lncRNA from 1 species
GCGAGGGAAUGAAGCUGUCAGCUGAAGAUGGGGAUGGAGAGAGGAGACGUUGAAGGAGGCACCAGAGCUGCUGAGGAGAACACAAAAGGGCUGUUCAGAAGACCGCUGCCUUUUGCCAAAUAAAAAGCUGGCAUGGAUCUGUGAUGAUGGAUCUGAAACUGAGGAGCUGUGAUUUCAGGCAGGGGAGGGGGGAGUUUCUAGCCCUCUCUACCCCAUUGUGACCCUCAAAUUGGCCUUGAGACACCUUUGAGAGCACAAAGAAGUGAAUACAGAAGCUUCCACACAAGGCUACAUUUUCUCUUUCUCCUUUCCUCUGUCUUGCCUGUAUCACUCACCUGGCAGGCACCAGCCAUUGUGUGGCUCAAGGUUCCUGUGUUUCUACAACAGUCAGAGCACAGAAGGCUCAGCAUGUGGUCCAAGGGCGACACUUUCACUCUCAGACUGCUGGUCAAUGAGCCAAGCCCUUGAACCUCUUCUGGGCUGCCAGAGUAUUUCAUGGAUAUCAAAAUCUCCUGCGUCAGGCUCACAGAGCAGAAGCUGUGACUGAAGGCUCACCCAUACCAGCUACACAGGCUGUGGGAGCAUUGAAGAGAUGCUUGUUAUCAUCCAGCUAGGCUAAUCCAUUUUAUAAAGUCCCAAGGACUGGCGCCUGGUUGCUAAGUGAUUUAGACACAGCCUUUUCCUGCACUCUUAAAACAUUUCCCGAAAGUCUUCAUUGGCCAUGGCAUGACUCUGCUAGCUGUGCCGUGCUCCCAGUACUUAGGAGCUGUGCUCCCAGUACUUUAGGAGUACUGUCUGUCUUGAGACCAGGUGGUCCCUUGUAGAACUGGGAUGGGAUCUGAUGCUGUGUUGGUCUCAUAACUGGACAUGUGGGAAUACUUUUUAACUCCCCUUAGAAAGAACUUAUCAAUAAGGCAAUAAACUUAUCAAUAAACUUGUUUGUUUACAUAACCUUUGUGAUUUUUUUCCUUACAUUUCAACAGUUUUUAAUUAAGGGAAGGCAACAAAACCAGACAUCUUAUUUGAGACAAGUACUGGCAAACUCUUGGACAUUGGUCAUCCCUUCUUCAACUCUGCGUGUGUGGGAAGCCGCAAACGCCAUUACAAGAUGGCGCUGGUUUCUUUAAGCCGACGCCCAUGAAUAUGGGUAAACAACCAAUGUGUGCAUGUGCAUAAGAGUUUUUUGCCGAGUCACUGCCUGGC